CUACGGGCGGCACCAGUGGGGAAUAUUGCACAAUGGAGGAAACUCUGAUGCAGCAACGCCGCGUGGAGGAUGACACUUUUCGGAGCGUAAACUCCUUUUAUAUAGGAAGAAGAUGACGGUACUAUAUGAAUAAGCGCCGGCUAACUCCGUGCCUGCAGCCGCGGUAAUACGGAGGGCGGCAAGCGUUACUCGGAAUCACUGGGCGUAAAGAGCGUGUAGGCGGAUUAAAAAGUCAGAAGUGAAAUCCUAUAGCUUAACUAUAGAACUGCUUCUGAAACUCUUAAUCUAGAAUAUGGGAGAGGUAGAUGGAAUUUCUGGUGUAGGGGUAAAAUCCGUAGAGAUCAGAAGGAAUACCGAUUGCGAAGGCGAUCUACUGGAACUUAAUUGACGCUGAGACGCGAAAGCGUGGGGAGCAAACAGGAUUAGAUACCCCCGUAGUC
rnacentral:rRNA from 1 species